rnacentral:rRNA from 1 species
UUUCUCAAUGGGGGAAACCCUGAAGGAGCGACGCCGCGUGGGGGAUGAGUGGCUUCGGCCCGUAAACCCCUGUCAUUUGCGAUCAAACCUUACGUUUUAAUAAAGCGUAAGCUGAUAGUAGCGGAAGAGGAAGGGACGGCUAACUCUGUGCCAGCAGCCGCGGUAAUACAGAGGUCCCAAGCGUUGUUCGGAUUCACUGGGCGUAAAGGGUGCGUAGGCGGUCGGGUAAGUCUGACGUGAAAUCUUCAAGCUCAACUUGGAAACUGCGUCGGAUACUAUUCGGCUAGAGGAAUGGAGGGGAGACUGGAAUACUUGGUGUAGCAGUGAAAUGCGUAGAUAUCAAGUGGAACACCAGUGGCGAAGGCGAGUCUCUGGACAUUUCCUGACGCUGAGGCACGAAAGCCAGGGGAGCAAACGGGAUUAGAUACCCCGGUAGUCCUGGCCCUAAACGGUGCACGUUUGCUGUAAGAGGAAUCGACCCCUUUUGUGGCGAAGUAAACGCGUUAAACGUGCCGCCUGGGAAGUACGGCCGCAAGGUUAAAACUCAAAGAAAUUGACGGGGGCCUGCACAAGCGGUGGAGUAUGUGGCUUAAUUCGAUGCAACGCGAAGAACCUUACCUGGCCUUGACAUGCACAUAGUAGAAGCCUGAAAGGGUGACGAGGUAGCAAUACCAGUGUGCACAGGUGCUGCAUGGCUGUCGUCAGCUCGUGUCGUGAGAUGUUGGGUUAAGUCCCGCAACGAGCGCAACCCUUGCGUCCAAGUUGCCAYUCAGUCGAAAGGCUGGAGCACUCUGGAUGGACUGCCUCGUUUAAACGAGGAGGAAGGUGGGGGAUGACGUCAAGUCAGUAUGGCCCUUACGGCCAGGGCUGCACACGUACUACAAUGCCCGGCACAGAGGGAAGCAAGACCGCGAGGUGGAGCAAAUCCCAGAAAACCGGGCCCAGUUCAGAUUGAAGGCUGCAACUCGCCUUCAUGAAGCUGGAAUCGCU